rnacentral:rRNA from 1 species
CAGCAGCCACGGGAAUACAGAGGGUGCGAGCGUUAAUCGGAUUUACUGGGCGUAAAGCGUGCGUAGGCGGCUUCUUAAGUCGGAUGUGAAAUCCCUGAGCUUAACUUAGGAAUUGCAUUCGAUACUGGGAAGCUAGAGUAUGGGAGAGGAUGGUAGAAUUCCAGGUGUAGCGGUGAAAUGCGUAGAGAUUUGGAGGAAUACCGAUGGCGAAGGCAGCCAUCUGGCCUAAUACUGACGCUGAGGUACGAAAGCAUGGGGAGCAAACAGGAUUAGAUACCCCAGUAGUCCCUGUCUCUUAUAC